rnacentral:rRNA from 1 species
AGGACGAACGCUGGCGGCGGGCUUAACACAUGCAAGUCGAACGAAGCCUUCGGGCUUAGUGGCGCACGGGUGAGUAACACGUAGGCAACCUACCCUCAGCUGGGGAAUAACCAGGGGAAACCCUGGCUAAUACCGCAUAACGUCGUCGCGACCUCCUGGUCGUACGACCAAAGUUCUGGCGGCUGAGGAUGGGCCUGGCGUCGGAUUAGCUAGUUGGCGGGUAACCGGCCCACGAAGGCGACGAUCCGGUAGCGGUCUGAGAGGAUGACUCCGGCCACGACCUGGCACGUGAGACGACGGCCAGACCUACCGUACGGGAGGCCAGCAGGUCGAGGAA